CAAACCCGCGCUCGCUGUACCAGGGGAAGCAACAGCGUUUUAACAGCAAACCCUCCCCCAAGUACCUUGUAACUAUUUUUAUGUGGCGUAAUUACAGCGGGAGAUAAAACAGCUGUUACAUCCCGGGCGGGGGGGGGAAGGGCAGCUGGUGAGUCACGUCAGUUAACAAGGAGCUGGUGUCAGCCCGAGGCUGGCCACUCGCUCCGGGAUGGGUGACCCUUGGGGCUGGUGGCCGCUCCAUGGCGAGUGCGCCUGUAGAAGGGAACCAGCAUGGCUGACAGGCGUGCUGCUUCUCAGCAGAAGCACAUAAAAAAUGGAGGGGGAGCUUGCCUGGCCAAGAGACAGGUGGGAGGCAGACCUGGAUUCUCUGUGAACAGGGGCACUUGAGGAGACAAGAAGGAGGAAAAUAUUUAACUGGCUUGAAACACUGACAAAACGUGGACUUCUGUGGAGGCAAGGCCAAGCUUUACAGGACUCUCGGACUCUGUAAAGAUGGGAAGAG